rnacentral:lncRNA from 1 species
CCUUGGCGCAUGUGAUUAGAGGAUCACCAGGGGGUCCUUUGUCCCUCCUUGGGGGGAUACUCCCACUGGGUUUAAAUCUGGGACUCUCGGCCAUUUGACCUUAGAACUGAAGAAGCUUCUCGGAUGAGAGGUGAAACGUCUUCAAGCAACUCAAAGAAGUCCAGACGCUUUUCUUUGCAAACUCCUUUGACAGUGGAUACACUUGUCUCCCCUUUAAAGGAGAUACUCUUAGAGAGAGACGAUCCGAGUCAUCAUAAAAUGAUAUCAGUCUUGGACUGUCUAACCUGCAGGAGCAGCAUUGAAUGAUCACCACACAUGAGCAUGUUCCUGCAACAUUCAGCAUCUGAUCCUUCAUCUGUGUGCUGCUGCUUUUGGUAAGUAGAGUUACCUAACUACAGUAACUCUAAACACAUGAUAUCCAUUUCUAACGGCCUGGUUACUUGCUGUCAGUUACUUUAGAAACCAUGUGGUCACCUGACCUAACACUGUUUCUGCUUCUUCCCCUUAAUGUUGAAGUGUCAAUUGUCCAACAGCUGGAGAGGAAAAUACACCAGUAUACUGGGAUGUUUCAUCAACAUGUGCCAGACGCUGUUCCUUCAUGGUGACAUCACCAGAGACAGCCCCGCCCACCUCAGGACCCAUUGAUCAUGAGGAUUAUAAUGAUGACAGCGAGCGGAACUAAGACUGUAAAAAUCCACGACCAGAAUGUUUAGAUGCUUUCUAAUUAUUAAUGAAUACUGAGUUUUUGUCUCUCUCUUUUUUUUUUUUACCUCAUUUGUUACUAACAAAGUUCACCAAACUCACACAGUUUACAUUCUUUAUGUUUCCAUCUUUACCAGCCACAGUCUGCCUGCAAUUAAGAAAAUAAUCCUUAGAAAUCGUCGUUUUUCUCUUUUGUAAUUGAUGAUAAUUCAGUAAAUAUACUCUGCUGCUUCCUUUUGUUUCGUCUCACAUUGCUUUACGUUUUUCAGUGUCCAGUUAUUUUUUUACUGUUGUUUGAAUUCUCUGAAUGUUUGACGCUGUAGACUGUUUGAUGGACUGCUUGUCUUCCUGUUUUUAACCGCUGCCUGUUUUUGACUAAAGAUUUGGAUUUCUGACUUUAACACAGCCUCUGCGUGUCCUCCCUUUGUGUCCUCUUCCUCUGUGAAUGUGUUGCAUGUGUCACAGAUUCAUUUUAUUAACAGCUUUCCCACAGUGAGUUGCAUCAGCAUUCAUUCACAGCACCUUUCAGAAGGAUUCAGAUU